rnacentral:rRNA from 1 species
UGGGGAAUAUUGCACAAUGGGCGCAAGCCUGAUGCAGCCAUGCCGCGUGUGUGAAGAAGGCCUUCGGGUUGUAAAGCACUUUCAGCGAGGAGGAAGGUGGUGAACUUAAUACGUUCAUCAAUUGACGUUACUCGCAGAAGAAGCACCGGCUAACUCCGUGCCAGCAGCCGCGGUAAUACGGAGGGUGCAAGCGUUAAUCGGAAUUACUGGGCGUAAAGCGCACGCAGGCGGUUUGUUAAGUCAGAUGUGAAAUCCCCGGGCUCAACCUGGGAACUGCAUUUGAAACUGGCAAGCUAGAGUCUCGUAGAGGGGGGUAGAAUUCCAGGUGUAGCGGUGAAAUGCGUAGAGAUCUGGAGGAAUACCGGUGGCGAAGGCGGCCCCCUGGACGAAGACUGACGCUCAGGUGCGAAAAGCGUGGGGAGCAAACAGGGUUAGAUACCCUGGUAGUCCACGCUGUAAACGAUGUCGAUUUGGAGGUUGUGCCCUUGAGGCGUGGCUUCCGGAGCUAACGCGUUAAAUCGACCGCCUGGGGAGUACGGCCGCAAGGUUAAAACUCAAAGGAAUUGACGGGGUCAUAGCUGUUUCCU